UGAGGAAUAUUGGGCAAUGCCCGCAAGGGUGACCCAGCAACGCCGCGUGGAGGAUGAAUGUCGUAAGAUUGUAAACUCCUGUUAGAGGGGAAGAAUAGUACCGGUUGGACCGGUAUAUGACUGUACCCUCAGAGAAAGCCCCGGCCAACUACGUGCCAGCAGCCGCGGUAAUACGUAGGAGGCGAGCGUUAUCCGGAUUUACUGGGCGUAAAGCGCGUGCAGGCGGAUUGGAGAGUUGGAUGUGAAAGCUCCCGGCUUAACUGGGAGAGGUCGUUCAAUACUUCCAGUCUUGAGUGCAGUAGAGGGAAGUGGAAUUCCGGGUGUAGUGGUGAAAUGCGUAGAUAUCCGGAGGAACACCAGUGGCGAAAGCGGCUUCCUGGACUGUAACUGACGCUCAGACGCGAAAGCUAGGGUAGCAAACG
rnacentral:rRNA from 1 species